AACAAAUUAAAUUUGUAAACGAUCAAAUUACACCGUUUUUAGACCACCUAAUCACAUCUUUUCCAAGUAUUUCAUACAAAAUUUCACGUGGGAUUGUUAGCGUAGACCGUGUGUAAACAAGUUGCCGGCUUACUAAAAUAAUCGCGGUUUUUACUGGGAAAACAGUGGUUGUCAAAACAUCCCGGAAGAACAGCAGAUUAUCUUGAAUUUGUCUAUUUACAAGUACUCGUCUUCAAAGAAAGAAUACGAUUAAUAAGUGAUAAUUGCCGCCAAAAUUUCUAUGCGAAGGACACUAGAAGAAAUGUGGAAAUGUGCGCUUGUCGUAUUUUAGGAUUUUUGCUGUGAAUUGUGAGGUGGGUAGCCUUUAUGAAUAAUUUAAUUCAUGUUUAAGGAUUGUGUUUAUUUUCCCGAUUUCUGUCUUUCCCCCCUUUUUAUAAUAAGCAUCACAUGGUAUUUAUAUCUGGAUGAAUAACUAAUUUCUAGGAUAUAAAUGUCAUUGUAGAGUCGACGACUUCCUUUGCAGAAUUCCUUUCUAUCAGGAUACUCCAAAUUUGCUUCACUUUCGUUUGGUAGCAUUCAUUUGUUACACGUAGGAACACUAUACUCAAUUUUGACACCUGUAACACUUUUACGGCCUGUUUACAUGUUACCACUAGGGUUACCCCUUCGCUCUUGGUCGGACCUCUACUCAAGGUCUUAAAAAGAAUUGAGGAGAAAGUGCUACCUUUACGUUGACAUCAGUAAAUGGUUAGACUUUCACAAAUUUGAAUCUCAAUAUUUGUCCAUGAUCGGACUACCUAUUUAAUAUAUUAAGGCAGAGCACAGAUAAAUUUGGCACAUCACAUUCCGUGCAUAAGUUCCACCCACCUCCUACGGGGCAGGUUUGGAGAUCGAGUUAAUUUGACCCACUGACUAGCACUCUCCCCUUGACGAGUAAAAUCAUCUGGCAUUAGACAGAGUAAAAUAAUAAAGUAGGGAACAUCGAGAUACAUUGCCACUUAAAGGGUUAACAGCAAGGAUGAAUGGGCAUAUAGUCUGAUUAACCCAUUUGAGCUCCAGCUCUCUCCCCUUGACCGGUGUCACGUUAGACAGUAAAAUAAUAAAGUAGCCCACAUUAGCUAGGGCACAAGGCAACUUAAUAAUGCAUUAAUGACUGAUGUAAUAAAAGGAGCCAGCACCUUCAAAUCAUCCCUAUAGUCGAUACCAUCUGUCAUCGCAUCCUUCAACAAACCUUCAACUGUUUCCACGAAAUUAGCCCUCCUUGCCUCAGCACCCUCGUAGGAAAGCAGACACACCACCACUCUACAAGGGCAGUAGAAAACAAUAACCUGUUUCUCCCCAAAGCCAGGACCAACACAGGAAAAUGCAGGUUUUCGUUACUGGCUCCUUCCUUGUGGAACAGAUUUCCAGACAUGGGAAAGAAACUUACCACGACACAUGGGUUUAGAUCGUUCUGUAAAGAACGAUGACUGAAGUCUAAGAUAACUGAACUGAACACAGAAAGAUUAUAUUAAUAUAAAAACUUUUACUGUUGAAAGUUAUAGAUUGUUAAUGUUAUGUGAUUGUGAUGUACAGUAUCUGUGUAUGUAAAUGUGUGUUUGUGAUGUACAGUAUCUGUGACUGUAUAUCCUACGUAUCUAAAGUAUGUUAACUGCAUGAGUAUCGUAAUCAUGUGAUGUAAUAUAUUUCUAGAACUUAAGAGGACCAGAUUGGAAACAAGCUGCACUGUAGCUUUAUCUGUAAAUCCUUGUUAAAUAAAGUGCUAAAUAAAUAAAUAAACCCAAUUCAGUUAGCCCUUAUAAAUGGUUAUUUUAGGCAGAUAGUAUGCUAUACUAAUAAAGUGAAUAAUGUAAUGAUUAAUAAUGGGUGAGUAAAACUAAUUCUUCUUCUACUACGUUAUUUCAUAAUUUGCAGGUUUAUUGAAAGAGCAAUAAUUGAUACUCGG